AUAUGGUUCAAUGGGCAGGUACCAUCACGAAUUUGUCAUGCUAUAAAAAUCCUGCAGGAAUGUGAAAUUGACUGGUCUGAUGAACACAGGAUGGCCGAGCAGUGAUAGUUGUACAUUUCCAUCACUUGUUGUGUUGAUUUCAUCAUGUCCAUUAGGUGAUGUUUUUUUCACUAUAGAAUCAUAUUGCAAAUGCACGUGCAUUGUUGUGCAACUGGUAACCCAAAAAUAAAAAUAUGGUUGUAAAUGCAUUUACCGGUCAUUCUGAUAUUAAUGCUCGCUAUGGGAACACAGGAUGGCCGGGCAGUGAUAGUUGUACAUUUC